rnacentral:rRNA from 1 species
CAGCAGCCACGGGAAUACGAAGGGGGCUAGCGUUGCUCGGAAUGACUGGGCGUAAAGGGCGCGUAGGCGGCGGCCAAAGUCAGGCGUGAAAUUCCCGGGCUCGACCUGGGGGCUGCGUUUGAUACUUGGUUGCUUGAGUGGGGAAGAGGGUCGUGGAAUUCCCAGUGUAGAGGUGAAAUUCGUAGAUAUUGGGAAGAACACCGGUGGCGAAGGCGGCGACCUGGUCCUUUACUGACGCUGAGGCGCGAAAGCGUGGGGAGCAAACAGGAUUAGAUACCCCAGUAGUCCCUGUCUCUUAUAC